rnacentral:rRNA from 1 species
AUGGUUAAGUUAGAAAGGGCGCACGGUGAAUGCCUUGGCACUAGGAGCCGAUGAAGGACGGGACUAACACCGAUAUGCUUCGGGGAGCUGUAAGUGAGCUUUGAUCCGGAGAUUUCCGAAUGGGGAAACCCACUGUUCGUAAUGGAACAGUAUCUUUAUCUGAAUACAUAGGAUAUUGAAGGCAGACCCGGGGAACUGAAACAUCUAAGUACCCGGAGGAAGAGAAAGCAAAUGCGAUUUCCUGAGUAGCGGCGAGCGAAACGGAAUUAGCCCAAACCAAGAGGCUUGCCUCUUGGGGUUGUAGGACACUCUAUACGGAGUUACAAAGGAACGAAGUAAAUGAAGCGACCUGGAAAGGUCCGUCGAAGAAGGUAACAACCCUGUAGUUGAAACUUCGUUCCCUCUUGAGUGGAUCCUGAGUACGGCGGAACACGUGAAAUUCCGUCGGAAGCUGGGAGGACCAUCUCCCAAGGCUAAAUACUACCUAGUGACCGAUAGUGAACCAGUACCGUGAGGGAAAGGUGAAAAGCACCCCGGAAGGGGAGUGAAAGAGAUCCUGAAACCGUGUGCCUACAAGUAGUCAGAGCCCGUUAAUGGGUGAUGGCGUGCCUUUUGUAGAAUGAACCGGCGAGUUACGAUCCCAUGCAAGGUUAAGCUGAUAAGGCGGAGCCGUAGCGAAAGCGAGUCUGAAUAGGGCGUUUAGUAUGUGGUUGUAGACCCGAAACCAGGUGAUCUACCCAUGUCCAGGGUGAAGUUCAGGUAACACUGAAUGGAGGCCCGAACCCACGCACGUUGAAAAGUGCGGGGAUGAGGUGUGGGUAGCGGAGAAAUUCCAAUCGAACCUGGAGAUAGCUGGUUCUCUCCGAAAUAGCUUUAGGGCUAGCCUCAUGUUGUGAGAGUCUUGGAGGUAGAGCACUGAUUGGACUAGGGGCCCCCAACGGGUUACCGAAUUCAGUCAAACUCCGAAUGCCAAAGACUUAUCCAUGGGAGUCAGACUGCGAGUGAUAAGAUCCGUAGUCAAAAGGGAAACAGCCCAGACCACCAGCUAAGGUCCCCAAGUAUACGUUAAGUGGAAAAGGAUGUGGAGUUGCUUAGACAACCAGGAUGUUGGCUUAGAAGCAGCCACCAUUUAAAGAGUGCGUAAUAGCUCACUGGUCGAGUGACUCUGCGCCGAAAAUGUACCGGGGCUAAACGUAUCACCGAAGCUGUGGAUUGACAUCUUAGAUGUCAGUGGUAGGAGAGCGUUCUAAGUGCAGCGAAGUCAGACCGUAAGGACUGGUGGAGCGCUUAGAAGUGAGAAUGCCGGUAUGAGUAGCGAAAGACAAGUGAGAAUCUUGUCCACCGAAUGCCUAAGGUUUCCUGAGGAAGGCUCGUCCGCUCAGGGUUAGUCGGGACCUAAGCCGAGGCUGAAAAGCGUAGGCGAUGGCCAACAGGUUGAUAUUCCUGUACCACCUCCCCGCCGUUUGAGUAAUGGGGGGACGCAGUAGGAUAGGGUAAGCGCGCUGCUGGAUAUGCGCGUUCAAGCAGUUAGGCUGAUGAGUAGGCAAAUCCGCUCAUCAUAAAGGCUGAGCUGUGAUGACGAGGGAAUUAUAGUACCGAAGUUCCUGAUUCCACACUGCCAAGAAAAGCCUCUAGCGAGGCGGGAGGUGCCCGUACCGCAAACCGACACAGGUAGGCGAGGAGAGAAUCCUAAGGUGAUCGAGAGAACUCUCGUUAAGGAACUCGGCAAAAUGACCCCGUAACUUCGGGAGAAGGGGUGCUCUGGUAGGGUGUAUAGCCCGAGAGAGCCGCAGUGAAUAGGCCCAGGCGACUGUUUAGCAAAAACACAGGUCUCUGCGAAGCCGCAAGGCGAAGUAUAGGGGCUGACGCCUGCCCGGUGCUGGAAGGUUAAGAGGAGGGGUUAUCCUUUGGGAGAAGCUCUGAAUCGAAGCCCCAGUAAACGGCGGCCGUAACUAUAACGGUCCUAAGGUAGCGAAAUUCCUUGUCGGGUAAGUUCCGACCCGCACGAAAGGCGUAACGAUCUGGGCACUGUCUCAACGAGAGACUCGGUGAAAUUAUAGUACCUGUGAAGAUGCAGGUUACCCGCGACAGGACGGAAAGACCCCGUGGAGCUUUACUGUAGCCUGAUAUUGAAUUUUGGUACAGCUUGUACAGGAUAGGUAGGAGCCUGAGAAGCCGGAGCGCUAGCUUCGGUGGAGGCGUCGGUGGGAUACUACCCUGGCUGUAUUGAAAUUCUAACCCGCGGCCCUGAUCGGGCCGGGAGACAGUGUCAGGUGGGCAGUUUGACUGGGGCGGUCGCCUCCUAAAAUGUAACGGAGGCGCCCAAAGGUUCCCUCAGAAUGGUUGGAAAUCAUUCGUAGAGUGUAAAGGCACAAGGGAGCUUGACUGCGAGACCUACAAGUCGAGCAGGGACGAAAGUCGGGCUUAGUGAUCCGGUGGUUCCGCAUGGAAGGGCCAUCGCUCAACGGAUAAAAGCUACCCCGGGGAUAACAGGCUUAUCUCCCCCAAGAGUCCACAUCGACGGGGAGGUUUGGCACCUCGAUGUCGGCUCAUCGCAUCCUGGGGCUGUAGUCGGUCCCAAGGGUUGGGCUGUUCGCCCAUUAAAGCGGUACGCGAGCUGGGUUCAGAACGUCGUGAGACAGUUCGGUCCCUAUCCGUCGUGGGCGUAGGAAAUUUGAGAGGAGCUGUCCUUAGUACGAGAGGACCGGGAUGGACACACCGCUGGUGUACCAGUUGUCUUGCCAAAGGCAUCGCUGGGUAGCUAUGUGUGGACGGGAUAAGUGCUGAAAGCAUCUAAGCAUGAAGCCCCCCUCAAGAUGAGAUUUCCCAUAGCGCAAGCUAGUAAGAUCCCUGAAAGAUGAUCAGGUUGAUAGGUCAGAGGUGGAAGCGUGGCGACAUGUGUAGCUGACUGAUACUAAUCGAUCGAGGACUUAACCAAAA